AAAAAAUUAAAACAAAUAGUAUAAUAGUUGAGCAAAAUAGAUAAACUUUUUGGCCUCAUGUUUUUCGUUUAUUAAAUUAAAAAUAAAUGUUUACUAAACCAUGUGCAUUAAACAAGUUCCAUAAGAUUCUAUCAACCAAAAAAAAGUAUAUAAAAAUUGGGACCAAAUGUUGAAAAAUAGCCUAAGAAGUGUGAUAGACUCAAAUUGAUUAUAUGAAAGGUAGAGGAAGUUACGACAAAGCAUGCAUAGUUGGCUGGUCCAUGUGAAGCAUGGUUUCGG
rnacentral:lncRNA from 1 species